rnacentral:rRNA from 1 species
UACAGAGGUCUCAAGCGUUGUUCGGAUUCAUUGGGCGUAAAGGGUGCGUAGGCGGCGCGGUAAGUCGGGUGUGAAAUCUCGGAGCUUAACUCCGAAACUGCAUUCGAUACUGCCGUGCUUGAGGACUGGAGAGGAGACGAUGGAAUUUACGGUGUAGCGGUGAAAUGCGUAGAUAUCGUAAGGAAGACCAGUGGCGAAGGCGGGUCUCUGGACAGGUUCCUGACGCUGAGGCACGAAGGUCAGGGGGAGCGAAAGCGGG